CCUACGGGAGGCAGCAGUGGGGAAUAUUGCACAAUGGGGGAAACCCUGAUGCAGCGACGCCGCGUGGGUGACGAAGUAUUUCGGUAUUUAAAGCCCUAUCAGCAGGGAAGAAGAUUACAGUACCUGACCAAGUAGCCCCUGCUAACUACGUGCCAGCAGCCGCGGUAAUACGGCGGGGGCAAGCGUUUUCCGGAUUGACCGGGCGUUAAGGGGGCGUAGGUGGGAUUGGAAGGCAGAAGUGGAAACCCGGGGCUUAACCCCGCGGAUUGCUUUUGGAACUGUCAGGCUGGAGUGCAGGAGGGGCAGGCGGAAUUCGUGGUGUAGCGGUGAAAUGCGUAGAUAUCAGGAGGAACACCGGUGGCGAAGGCGGCCUGCUGGACUGUAACUGACACUGAGGCUCGAAAGCGUGGGGAGCAAACAGGAUUAGAUACCCUAGUAGUC
rnacentral:rRNA from 1 species